rnacentral:misc_RNA from 1 species
AACGUAUAUUACGCCCCUUAGUAUUCCGAGGGGUAUACCUGUUCGAGCGUUAUUAUAACCCUCAAGUAUUACUUGGUAUUAAGCCCUACUACUUACCUAGCGGGCCUUAAAAUUAGUAGCGGUACUAUCGAGGCCCUGAGCUUAGUAAAUAUCCUCGCUAUAGGGACUCGGUAGACGCUGGCUAUUAACCCCUAACUUUCUAAGUUUGACCUCGGAUCAGGUAGGGAUACCCGCUGAACUUAA